CCAGCCGCCUUCGGCCGGCAGGGUCGCAGCUGUGAGUUUGGCCUUGGAAAGGAGGAAUGAAAUGAGAGGUGGGGAAAUCUGUUGGAGCGAGAGGACAUGCAGGAUAGACGUUAGGAAGGACAGGAGGAGAUCGCGGGUGACCAAGGGCACAUUGAAAGGCCCACGCAAACCUGGUGGCCGAGUGACAACAGUACUUUGGGGGAGCCUCGCAGAGGUUUGUGGAAGGUCUCUGAGGUGUCUCCCCCUCUCGUGGUGGGGGCAGCAGGGAAGCGACGUAUGAAGCAGGAGUUAUCAAGAAAGGGCCCGAAAGCUGUCCUCUGCUGGAGGGUAAUCUCUGCACCCGACGUGGGGCUCAAACUCACGACCCCGAGAUCAAGGGCUGGAGGUUCUUCCGACCGAGCCGGCCAGUAGCCUCAGAGAGACAGAGCGUGAGCAGGGGAGGGGCAGAGAGAGA